rnacentral:lncRNA from 1 species
AUGUGCGUGCCAGGAGAGGAAAAGAAAACAACACCUGGGAACAGAGGAAUCAGUGAUGGCAUGCUGACCUCUCCCAUUCCCUUUGAAGCACUUAUGAUCAUAUCCAAGAGCUGCAUUCCAGCUGUGGCGCCUUCUGAGGUACUGAAUAUAUUAAGAUAAAAAGAAAUAAGCUGAGCUAUAUUAAUAAGAAGCUUAAAUGUUUAUGCAGGCAUAAGCUUUGAGAAAUUAGAUACCCC